rnacentral:miRNA from 1 species
UGGGUAUCUGGAUGUGGUUGG